rnacentral:hammerhead_ribozyme from 1 species
GCACUGCCGACGAGUUCCAAACAGGAGGAAACAGCUGUCCAGCGC